UACGGAGGGUGCAAGCGUUGUCCGGAUUCACUGGGUUUAAAGGGUGCGUAGGUGGGUUGGUAAGUCAGUGGUGAAAUCUCCGGGCUUAACCCGGAAACUGCCGUUGAUACUAUCUGUCUUGAAUAUCGUGGAGAUGAGCGGAAUAUGUCAUGUAGCGGUGAAAUGCUUAGAUAUGACAUAGAACACCGAUUGCGAAGGCAGCUCGUUACACGAUUAUUGACACUGAGGCACGAAAGCGUGGGGAUCAAACAGG
rnacentral:rRNA from 1 species